rnacentral:rRNA from 1 species
GAUGAACGCUGGCGGCGUGCCUAAUACAUGCAAGUCGAGCGAACAGACGAGGAGCUUGCUCCUCUGACGUUAGCGGCGGACGGGUGAGUAACACGUGGAUAACCUACCUAUAAGACUGGGAUAACUUCGGGAAACCGGAGCUAAUACCGGAUAACAUGUUGAACCGCAUGGUUUAACAGUGAAAGACGGUCUUGCUGUCACUUAUAGAUGGAUCCGCGCCGCAUUAGCUAGUUGGUAAGGUAACGGCUUACCAAGGCAACGAUGCGUAGCCGACCUGAGAGGGUGACCGGCAACAGGGGACGUGAGCCAGGGCCAGACCUCCGAGGGGGGGCGGAAGAGGGGAUUUUUGGGAAAGGGGGAAAGCCCGAACGGAGAACCGCGGCGUGGGUAAAAAGGUUGUUGGGAUCAAAAAACUUUGUAAUGGGGGAAAAAAAAAUGGGAAAGUAACUUGGCCCGUCUGGAGGGAAACUAAGAAAAAAGCCAGGCCUAAAUAGGGC